UAGGGAAUCUUCGGCAAUGGACGAAAGUCUGACCGAGCAACGCCGCGUGAGUGAAGAAGAUUUUCGGAUCGUAAAACUCUGUUGGUAGAGAAGAACGUUGGUGAGAGUGGAAAGCUCGUCAAGUGACGGUAACUACCCAGAAAGGGACGGCUAACUACGUGCCAC
rnacentral:rRNA from 1 species